rnacentral:lncRNA from 1 species
CAAAUCCCAUGAACCAUGUACCAAACCUAAUGGACCAAAUUCCAUGAACCAUGUACCAAACCUCAUGGACCAAAUCCCAUGAACCAUGUACCAAACCUCAUGGACCAAAUCCCAUGAACCAUGUACCAAACCUCAUGGACCAAAUCCCAUGAACCAUAACCAAAUCUCAUGGAUCAAAUCCCAUGAACCAAAACCAAACCUCAUGGACCAAAUCCCAUGAACCACAAACCAAACCCCAUGGACCAAAUCCCAUGAACCAUAUACCAAACCUCAUAAACCAUACACCACAUCCUAUGAACCAAAUCUCAUACACCACAUCCCAUGAACCAAAUCUUAUACAUCCUAUACACCAAACCUCAAUGAAUCAAUACCCAAAUAUCUUGAAUCAAUACCCAAAUAUAAUAAACCAACACCCAUAUCUCAAGAAUCAAUACCCAAAUCUCAUGCCCAAAGUUCAUCAUGAACCUCGUUUUGCUCUAGCAU